AUAAACAAACAAACGCAACUGCCCGGGUUGCAGCCCAGCCCAAUUAGAUCAGACCUGGUGGGGGUGGGGUCUAGACAUCCGUGUUUGUUUAAAGAUCCUGGAUGACUCCGAUGCAAAUUCCUGGCCACAGCCAGGGCGGCCCUGACUGAUCUCAGACCGUCUUCAAACACCCGCCCUGUCUGAACUCAGGGUCCUCCCACAUCCAACUUACCAUGCAGGCCUGAGGAGAAGUUCUGUGGCAAGCCGUCUCUAACCUCGCCUGGUGGUUGCCAUCUCAUUACUGCAUUGUUUCCAGUGUAGCAGGUCCCGCCUGAAGUCAUCUUGUUUGUCUACUUCAGAGCUGCCCACUGAAUGUGCCCGCGCCAGACUGUUGGCUGAUGUGAGGGGCACAUGGACUCACCAUUGCCCCAGUGACAGCCAGCCAGCUUCCAAAGCAGAGCUCCCUGGUGACUUGGCAGCUGAUCUUAGACGCGUGAGCGUGCCCAGCCAGGACCAGCAGGAGAAUUGCCCAGCUGGUCCCAGUCUAAAUUGCUACCUCUUGAAUUGUGAGCUACAAAUAAAUGGUAGUUGUA